GCUUACGGCCAUACCAGCCUGGGUACGCCCGAUCUCGUCUGAUCUCGGAAGCUAAGCAGGGUCGGGCCUGGUUAGUACUUGGAUGGGAGCCCGCCUGGGAAUACCAGGUGCUGUAAGCA
rnacentral:rRNA from 1 species